rnacentral:tRNA from 1 species
CAUUAAGAAGCUAUGCAACAGCACUAGCCUUUUAAGCUAGCUAGAGAGGACCGCCUCCUCCUUAAUGG